rnacentral:rRNA from 1 species
CACUAGUGAUUAGAGUUUGAUCAUGGCUCAGAUUGAACGCUGGCGGAAUGCUUUACACAUGCAAGUCGAACGGCAGCACGGGGGCAACCCUGGUGGCGAGUGGCGAACGGGUGAGUAAUACAUCGGAACGUGCCCAGUCGUGGGGGAUAACGUAGCGAAAGCUACGCUAAUACCGCAUACGAACUCUGGUUGAAAGCGGGGGAUCGCAAGACCUCGCGCGAUUGGAGCGGCCGAUGGCAGAUUAGGUAGUUGGUGGGGUAAAGGCUCACCAAGCCGACGAUCUGUAGCUGGUCUGAGAGGACGACCAGCCACACUGGGACUGAGACACGGCCCAGACUCCUACGGGAGGCAGCAGUGGGGAAUUUUGGACAAUGGGCGCAAGCCUGAUCCAGCCAUUCCGCGUGCAGGAUGAAGGCCCUCGGGUUGUAAACUGCUUUUGUACGGAACGAAAAGGCUUUCUCUAAUACAGAGAGCUGAUGACGGUACCGUAAGAAUAAGCACCGGCUAACUACGUGCCAGCAGCCGCGGUAAUACGUAGGGUGCAAGCGUUAAUCGGAAUUACUGGGCGUAAAGCGUGCGCAGGCGGUGAUGUAAGACAGGUGUGAAAUCCCCGGGCUUAACCUGGGAACUGCAUUUGUGACUGCAUCGCUGGAGUGCGGCAGAUGGGGAUGGAAUUCCGCGUGUAGCAGUGAAAUGCGUAGAUAUGCGGAGGAACACCGAUGGCGAAGGCAAUCCCCUGGGCCUGCACUGACGCUCAUGCACGAAAGCGUGGGGAGCAAACAGGAUUAGAUACCCUGGUAGUCCACGCCCUAAACGAUGUCAACUGGUUGUUGGGUCUUCACUGACUCAGUAACGAAGCUAACGCGUGAAGUUGACC